rnacentral:rRNA from 1 species
UGAGGAACAUGACCUUCGGCGGGGGAUAGCCGGCCCAACGGCCGGGUAAUACCGCGUACGACCUUUUGGGGACAUCCCUGAUUGGUGAAAGCAGCAAUGCGCCGAAAGAGUGCCUCGCGGCCUAUCAGCUAGUUGGUGGGGUAAUGGCUCACCAAGGCAACGACGGGUAGCUGGUCUGAGAGGAUGGCCAGCCACAGUUGGGACUGAGACACGGCCCAGACUCCGACGGGAGGNAGCG